rnacentral:RNase_P_RNA from 1 species
CCAGCUGGCUGGGCAGCCGCGCAUGUCAAAAGCCGAAAGGCGGCAUGUGAGGAAAGUCCGGGCUCCAGGGAACACGGUGCCGGAUAACGUCCGGCGGGGGCGACCCCAGGGAAAGUGCCACAGAAAGGAAACCGCCCCGCCUGUAUUUCGGCUGCGACCACGCAACGCUGGUCCGAGCCAAAAUACUGGCGGGGUAAGGGUGAAAGGGUGGGGUAAGAGCCCACCGCGCAACUGGUAACAGGGGCGGCACGGCAAACCCCACCGGGAGCAAAACCGAAUAGGGACGGCGUGCCGGGCGCAAGCCUGGCGAUCAGUUUCCGGGUCAGUCGUCCGGGUGGGUUGCAGGAGGCGGGCGGCAACGUCCGUCCAAGAUGAAUGGCUGCCGCGUCGGGCGCGAGCCCGGCCAUACAGAACCCGGCUUACAGGCCAGCUGGCACU